rnacentral:rRNA from 1 species
UGCCAGACUCCUACGGGAGGCAGCAGUGGGGAAUAUUGCACAAUGGGGGAAACCCUGAUGCAGCGACGCCGCGUGAGUGAAGAAGUAUUUCGGUAUGUAAAGCUCUAUCAGCAGGGAAGAAAUAAAGUCCUUCGGACUUUGGACGGUACCUGACUAAGAAGCCCCGGCUAACUACGUGCCAGCAGCCGCGGUAGUACGUAGGGGGCAAGCGUUAUCCGGAUUUACUGGGUGUAAAGGGAGCGUAGACGGCAGCGCAAGUCUGGAGUGAAAUCCCAUGGCUUAACCAUGGAACUGCUUUGGAAACUGUGCAGCUAGAGUGCAGGAGAGGUAAGCGGAAUUCCUAGUGUAGCGGUGAAAUGCGUAGAUAUUAGGAGGAACACCAGUGGCGAAGGCGGCUUACUGGACUGUAACUGACGUUGAGGCUCGAAAGCGUGGGGAGCAAACAGGAUUAGAUACCCGAGUA